rnacentral:lncRNA from 1 species
AAGAAAUCCAAAGAAAAGCCUAAAGCAGAAUGUGGAAGGAGAAAGGCAGAGAGAAAAAAGUGACCUGUGUUGGUAAAUCUUGUCAUAUAGUUGGUGUCUCUGCUGGGAAUAAUACCUAUCAUGUAAGAACUGAACUACUCCCCACAUUUCUUGGGUUUAGGGUUGAGAGAAUUCAUUAAAAUGGCACCACAUCUGGGAGGCUUUUUCUAACCAUCAGAUGUAAACUGGAACCUUUAUAUCUCCAUCCUUAACCUUCCCUAUUCAUUAUUUCUCUAUUUUCCCUAUUCAUUAUAGUUAGCUAACACAAAUUUAUUGAUUUAUUGUUUGCCUCACACUUCUCUUUUCAAGAUUGCAAGAUCCAUAAGGGUAGGAACUUCAUCAUGUUUAAGGUUCAUACAACAGACUCUCAAAAAGUAUCUCCAAGUUGACAUAAUAAAUUGUGAUUGAAGUGUACAUAGGUAUGUAACAACAGGGAUAG